AGUCGAGCGGGGAGAUGUAGCUUGCUACAUUUCCUAGCGGCGGACGGGUGAGUAAUGCUUAGGAAUCUGCCUAUUAGUGGGGGACAACAUUCCGAAAGGAAUGCUAAUACCGCAUACGUCCUACGGGAGAAAGCAGGGGAUCUUCGGACCUUGCGCUAAUAGAUGAGCCUAAGUCAGAUUAGCUAGUUGGUGGGGUAAAGGCCUACCAAGGCGACGAUCUGUAGCGGGUCUGAGAGGAUGAUCCGCCACACUGGGACUGAGACACGGCCCAGACUCCUACGGGAGGCAGCAGUGGGGAAUAUUGGACAAUGGGCGCAAGCCUGAUCCAGCCAUGCCGCGUGUGUGAAGAAGGCCUUUUGGUUGUAAAGCACUUUAAGCGAGGAGGAGGCUACUUGGAUUAAUACUCUAGGAUAGUGGACGUUACUCGCAGAAUAAGCACUGGCUAACUCUGUGCCAGCAGCCGCGGUAAUACAGAGGGUGCGAGCGUUAAUCGGAUUUACUGGGCGUAAAGCGUGCGUAGGCGGCUUUUUAAGUCGGAUGUGAAAUCCCUGAGCUUAACUUAGGAAUUGCAUUCGAUACUGGGAAGCUAGAGUAUGGGAGAGGAUGGUAGAAUUCCAGGUGUAGCGGUGAAAUGCGUAGAGAUCUGGAGGAAUACCGAUGGCGA
rnacentral:rRNA from 1 species